GGGAUGUAUUUAUUAGAUUAAAAGCCAACGCCCUUCGGGGCUUCCUGGUGAUUCAUAAUAACUUUUCGAAUCGCAUGGCCUUGCGCCGGCGAUGGUUCAUUCAAAUUUCUUCCCUAUCAACUUUCGAUGCGAAGGUAUUGUCUUCGCAUGGUUGCAACGGGUAACGGAGGGUUAGGGCUCGACCCCGGAGAAGGAGCCUGAGAAACGGCUACUACAUCCAAGGAAGGCAGCAGGCGCGCAAAUUACCCAAUCCCGACACGGGGAGGUAGUGACAAUAAAUACUGAUACAGGGCUCUUUUGGGUCUUGUAAUCGGAAUGAGUACAAUUUAAAUCCCUUAACGAGGAACAAUUGGAGGGCAAGUCUGGUGCCAGCAGCCGCGGUAAUUCCAGCUCCAAUAGCGUAUAUUAAAGUUGUUGUGGUUAAAAAGCUCGUAGUUGAACCUUGGGCCUGGCUGGCCGGUCCCCCUCACCGGGUGCACUGAUCCAGCCGGGCCUUUC
rnacentral:rRNA from 1 species